rnacentral:rRNA from 1 species
CCUAUUAUAUUUAAACAAACUAAGGUAAUAAUAAACUAUAAACAAACCUAUUUACCCUGGCGGCAAUUCACCUUAUUAAAGGAACUUGUUUAAUAAUCGACAAUCCACGCUUAAUUUUACUAAGAUCAAUAAUUUAUAUACCGCCAUUUUAAGAAUUUAUUUACACAAAUUAUUCUAAAUAUCUUUAUAACUAAAAAAUUAGGUCAAGGUGUAAUUUACAUUUUAGAAACAAAUGAGUUACAAUAAAUAUUAUUUAAAGAUUCUUAACUAAAAAACUAACAUGAAAAGGGAUUUAAAUGUAAUAUUUAAAUAACAAUUAAAUAUGAAUAAGACAAUAAAUGUGCACACAUCG